rnacentral:rRNA from 1 species
UACACCUACGGGGCGCAGCAGUGAGGAAUAUUGGUCAAUGGACGCAAGUCUGAACCAGCCAUGCCGCGUGCAGGAAGACGGCUCUAUGAGUUGUAAACUGCUUUUGUACGAGGGUAAAUCCCGAUACGUGUAUCGGGUUGAAAGUAUCGUACGAAUAAGGAUCGGCUAACUCCGUGCCAGCAGCCGCGGUAAUACGGAGGAUUCAAGCGUUAUCCGGAUUUAUUGGGUUUAAAGGGUGCGUAGGCGGAGUGUCAAGUCAGCGGUAAAAUUUCGGGGCUCAACCCCGUCGUGCCGUUGAAACUGAC